GACGAACGCUGGCGGCGUGCUUAACACAUGCAAGUCGAGCGAUGAAGCACCUUCGGGUGUGGAUUAGCGGCGAACGGGUGAGGAACACGUGAGGAAUCUGCUUUUCACUUCGGGAUAACUCCGGGAAACCGGGGCUAAUACCGGAUAUUUUCAACUGGCGGCAUCGCCGGUUGAAGAAAGUUUUUCGGUGAAAGAUGACCUCGCGGCCUAUCAGCUUGUUGGUGAGGUAAUGGCUCACCAAGGCGACGACGGGUAGCCGGCCUGAGAGGGCGACCGGCCACACUGGGACUGAGACACGGCCCAGACUCCUACGGGAGGGAGCAGUGGGGAAUAUUGGGCAAUGGAGGAAACUCUGACCCAGCGACGCCGCGUGAGGGAUGAAGGCCUUCGGGUUGUAAACCUCUUUCAGCAGGGAAUAAGCGAAAGUGAAGGUACCUGCAGAAGAAGCACCGGCUAACUAUGUGCCAGCCGCCGCCGUAA
rnacentral:rRNA from 1 species